CCUACGGGAGGCAGCAGUGGGGAAUAUUGCACAAUGGGGGAAACCCUGAUGCAGCAACGCCGCGUGAGUGAUGACGGUCUUCGGAUUGUAAAGCUCUGUCUUCAGGGACGAUAAUGACGGUACCCAAGGAGGAAGCCACGGCUAACUACGUGCCAGCAGCCGCGGUAAU
rnacentral:rRNA from 1 species